AAUCUUCUUUGGAAUCGGAUCUCCACUCAUCUGAGGCAUGUUCAUGGCGGAAAGGGGUUAUGCAUUCAUACUCUGUUAUAUGAAGGGGUUUCUUAUUUUUGAUUCAAAUGCUUUCGAAAAUUUCGUAUAGAUGGUGGUGUAUACGCGUUUUUAUGCUGAACCACGCAUACUAGGCAGAGAUGCCAUGGUUGUGCCCUCGCCCGAGUGAUGUUCUUGAAGGCUGUUUAAUGUUCUUUUCUACUCAUUUCUUCUACGCUGCUUGAUUUUGCUGGCAAGGCUCGCAGGUAGGUAUUUUUUCCGCCUUUUAAUCCACUUCCAGUUGCUGAAAUGGGAUGUGACCAACAUCAAGCUUAAUUUCAAGCAUCAUCGUUUGGCCCUAUGAAGUUGUUUGUGGUCGCUAGUCCAUCCUGGACUUGAACCAGAGACCUUGCCCGUGAAGUAAAUCAUCGCACCUACGGUCCAACCAAUUGGCAGAGAAUCAAUAGAUUCAUUUUCGGGAGCGAUUCAUCCUUAUGUCCUGCCCAAGAAAGAGACCCAAGUCCUAGCCGAAUUUGCAAACAGGCAUUGUGCCUUCAUUUUGGAAGAAGAGUUGAAAGGUGCAGUUGUUCGUAUUUGCAAACAAGCAGGUCAGCUUAUUCUCCUUUUCUUUUCCUUAAGUCCAUGAGCACAUGGUAAGCAGCAAAACUCUUAUACAUGACAUUUUACUUGUCACAUUGAUGUGAAAGUUGGCCAGGAAGCUCCCCGACCAAAUCUCGAAAUCCCUACGUAUUUGAUCAAAGUCUAAACUUGGGUUAUUCUUGGUGAAUAAAUAAAUUAAAUAAUAAUGUCAAAUCCCUUUGUUUGGAAUCUACAUGUAUCCAAAUAGACUCUUUGUACAGGAAAAUCAGUCAAGUACAUUGAGUUAGCUGAUUUUCUUUCUUUUGAGAUCAUUGAAUGGAGUCCAUUGAGCUCAAAACCUUGUGCAUUAGUGGCUAUUGGAUGAUGUAUUGCUCAAACUUUUGUGCUGGUUCCACAAAAGCUUGGAGUGUAUAUAUGAACAGAUAGGUAGCAAGCUGCUUGAAUUUGUGUUGUCACUGUAAUGUUGAGAGCUUGUCAGCCAAAUUUUGGUAGAUUUUGUGCUGUCAAAUUGUUGGAAACUGAAAAUCAGUUGCUAGAUUGGAAUUGGCUGAAAUUGAAUGCUACAUGUUUCAUUAAGUGUACAGCUGUUGUUGCUACUCUUGAGAUCUGUUGGUGCUUUCAUUUGCUGGUUCUGCUAUCCAUAUGAUGUUAUAUGUUGAGUUUGAGUAUUGAUGUUGCAACUAUAUUGCUAGUUUUUGCUCUCUAUUGAAGUUGUUGUCUGUUGGAACAUAUUGAUAAGACUUAGAACUGUUGUAGCUUGUAAGCUGUAUUUCUAGACAUAGAACAGAUUGUAUUUUGAAAGAAUUAUGAUAAGGAACUUGAAUUGACCCUUAAAGAUUUUUCAUUACCAAAAUAGUAUUUGAUAGGCUUUGGGACACAACUUAGUUUCCUUAGAUAUGAACUCUAAAUUUUUGUUGACCAGGCACAAGACUUUCUUUAUGUUAACUUAGUUGUGUUUAUCUAACUUUUUUACUUGAAUUGUCUUGGGAGCUAGUUAAAAGAUAAACUUGGUAGAAUAGAUGUUACUUAAUUUAAUUUUAGUUUCUACCACUCCCAUUAUAGACAACUUAUGAGACAAGAUAAGGGAUUUAACCUCUUGCUGUUUAAGGGGAUUAUUGAGCCCCCUUAUAUUCCAAGCUCCGACUUUGAAAAUUUAAGAGGAAGACGCUUUAUCACCCCUCCCCUUACCAGGAGGACCAACAGAACCUUUAACCACUGUUUGCACAGGUUUCUGAACACCCUUACUGCGACCCCUUCCCUUCUUUUUAGGGGGAGAAACCUGAAGGAUCAGCUCCUGAUUCAACCCAUCAGCAAACUCCUCAUUAGUAGGCAAAGUGAUUGGCUUCGCCCCUGAGUCUGGCUUAUCCUCACCACUAUCUAAAUUCUGCAAAAUAGAGAAACUAUUCACAACUUUGGUACCAAAAGAAGACACCAAAGAAUCCAGCACCUUAAGAGAAGCGGCCCCAUCAAUCCCAGCCUUCUUCUUGAUGUCCACAACUGUAGGAAGCCUCUCAACCGCCCCGUCAGCACUACGAAAACAAAAACAGGAGAGGUCGACGCAGCAAACACCAAACACAUCAUUCACUAUAGGUGACAGAACUUCAGCAACAAUAGGAGCAACAUGAGUUGGUUUUACAACCCACACCUAUGGUUUAUAGUUCAUAGGAAUAGCCUUAGACUAGCAAGUCUUAUGCCCAAACACCUUAUAGGACUCGCAUCGUAACGGUCUCCAAGGAUACCACACUCUGAUAUUAAAAAUAACCCCAGAAGGUAAUGUCAAGUCAAAACUGUCAGGCAGAGCAGAAGAUGUGUCUAUUUUCACACAAAUUUUAGCAUAACUAAUCUGUUUGCAUGACUCUAUGAAAUGAUCUGCAUAUAAUGGUCUACCAAUGGCACUAACCAAUGGUUACAAUAAAAUAGUCUAGUUACACAACACCGUCUUGAGUAAUAUUAAUGGACACCUAAAUAGAGGUUUGACGGCUGCACUUCUAGGUUGCGGGUUCAACUUCCACGCCAUCUCUCUCUCUCUCUCUCUCUCUCUCUCUC